rnacentral:rRNA from 1 species
CUACGGGCGGCAGCAGUGAGGAAUUUUGCGCAAUGGGGGGAACCCUGACGCAGCAACGCCGCGUGAGUGAAGAAGGCCUUUGGGUCGUAAAGCUCUGUCAAUUGGGAAGAAGUUAUCAUGUAUAAACAGUGCAUGGUAUUGACGGUACCAAUGGAGGAAGCGCCGGCUAACUCCGUGCCAGCAGCCGCGGUAACACGGGGGGCGCAAGCGUUAUUCGGAAUUAUUGGGCGUAAAGGGCGCGUAGGCGGUUUUAUCAGUCAGAUGUGAAAGCCCGGGGCUCAACCCCGGACGUGCAUUUGAAACAGUAAGACUUGAGUACGGGAGAGGAAAGCGGAAUUCCUGGUGUAGAGGUGACAUUCGUAGAUAUCAGGAGGAACACCGAUGGCGAAGGCAGCUUUCUGGACCGAUACUGACGCUGAGGCGCGAAGGCGUGGGUAGCGAACGGGAUUAGAUACCCCAGUAGUC